rnacentral:rRNA from 1 species
AGAAUCAACGCUGGCGGCGUGCCUAACACAUGCAAGUCGAACGAGAAAGUGGGAGCAAUCCCACGAGUAAAGUGGCGCACGGGUGAGUAACACGUGACUAACCUACCCUUGAGUGGGGGAUAACCUAGGGAAACCUGGGCUAAUACCGCAUAAUACCUACGGGUCAAAGGAGCAAUUCGCUUUAGGAGGGGGUCGCGGCAGAUUAGUUAGUUGGCGGGGUAAUGGCCCACCAAGACAGUGAUCUGUA